rnacentral:rRNA from 1 species
CUCAGCAGCCAUAUCACCAUGCAACCCACAACUACUGUAGCAACUCUCUGAAGCUCAGCAGGUGUGAGCCUGGUCAGUACCUGGAUGGGAGACCUCCUGGAAAAAACUAAGGUUGCUGCUGGAA